UGGGGAAUAUUGCACAAUGGGCGCAAGCCUGAUGCAGCCAUGCCGCGUGUAUGAAGAAGGCCUUCGGGUUGUAAAGUACUUUCAGCGGGGAGGAAGGGAGUAAAGUUAAUACCUUUGCUCAUUGACGUUACCCGCAGAAGAAGCACCGGCUAACUCCGUGCCAGCAGCCGCGGUAAUACGAAGGGUGCAAGCGUUAAUCGGAAUUACUGGGCGUAAAGCGCACGCAGGCGGUUUGUUAAGUCAGAUGUGAAAUCCCCGGGCUCAACCUGGGAACUGCAUCUGAUACUGGCAAGCUUGAGUCUCGUAGAGGGGGGUAGAAUUCCAGGUGUAGCGGUGAAAUGCGUAGAGAUCUGGAGGAAUACCGGUGGCGAAGGCGGCCCCCUGGACGAAGACUGACGCUCAGGUGCGAAAGCGUGGGGAGCAAACAGG
rnacentral:rRNA from 1 species